AACCAGAUUGGAGGGUAAGCGGCUUGUGUGAGCGGUGGUCCCAGAGCACCCAGGUAAGAGAAUAAGGAGGUGGGACAGGGACUGAAGGCAUUGAGCAAAGAUUUUCCAUUGAUCCAGUUACUGUGGUGGGCAGCUGGACCCCGGUUGGAGCUGGUCCUGCUGGGGACCCCUGGGAGACAGGUGUAGCACACCUCAAAGUUACACUGCUACGCAGGUGUGUGACUUGGGGUGAUCACCAAUACCCGCCCCCAACCGCACCUGCCAUGUGCUGAGAGCUGCUCGUGUGAGCCACAGAAGGCCUCCAGGUGGGGAUCCCAGGUGGCUGCUGCUGGCGAGGGUGGGGCCUUUGUCACCAGAAGUGGCAAGCACCAGGGGACUGGAGUGGGGCACUGGCAGCCUCCUCCCCCUUCAUAGGGUCUUUAGGGAGCAUGCACGUCUGCUAGAAAUACCUAAUCUCAAUUAGUGAGUGCAUGUAGGGAAACCAUGCUCUCUCCAUGUUUCUCCUGUCCAUGUAAAAAAAAAAAAAGACACAGUUUACAUACAUUUUUUUGACAAGCCCCAGAAAAUAAGCCCCUAGAAGUCAGGAAUGAAAUCAGCAAGCCAGUUCUCCCCCCUUCUCGUUCAUAGCACACCAUUCCUCCCAAAGGCUCCGUAACAAAGCCACAUUAACAAAACUUUCCCCUCUGAGCAGGCCAAGUGGUGGCAGGUCAAACCUGUACCACUAUUCCUUUUAACGGAACAGAAACUGAAAGAGAAGCAGGCAUGGGCCUGGCGUCACGUGAUGCAUCACAGCAGAGCCCUGUCCUGGUCACACGCCCCUGCUCCACCCCAGGAUGAUGUGCGGCACUCAACCCCACAGCAUCCGUGGCAUUGUCACCCUGACCUCUCUUCCCUGACUGUGGCCCCAACAGCAGCAUCGAGAGAGCAGAGAGGCCACUCGGUGUGUCCCCAGACCCUCUGGGUCCCAUCUGCAGCUCAGCGUUUUGAACCAUGUUGUUAUUCCCCCACUCCCUUCCUUGCUCCCUGGAAAGUUCCCUUCUCUCUGACUUGUUUCCCGCGCCAAUCCUGGAUUGGAAGUCACCAAGUUUCUCUGUGUUCUGACACCCUGAACUCACCCAUUUCAAGGCAAACGUUUCCAACGGACACAAGUCUUUGAUUAAGAAAAUGAAAGGUCAGACACCCAAAUCUUCCGCUCUGCUCACGGUUGAGUUCAAGGGAGAUGGCACAGGAGCAGUCUGAAAUGAAGAGGAAUGAGCUCAGAGGAGCAGAGAGCAAGCACAGCAUAAAAGUACAAAGUACGUAAAACGUAAUUAAGGGCCUGGAAGGUGGUUUGCUCU